rnacentral:rRNA from 1 species
UACGUAGGGGGCAAGCGUUGUCCGGAAUCAUUGGGCGUAAAGCGCGUGUAGGCGGCCCGGUAAGUCCGCUGUGAAAGUCGGGGCUCAACCCUCGAAUGCCGGUGGAUACUGUCGGACUAGAGUACGGAAGAGGCGAGUGGAAUUCCUGGUGUAGCGGUGAAAUGCGCAGAUAUCAGGAGGAACACCAAUUGCGAAGGCAGCUCGCUGGGACGUUACUGACGCUGAGACGCGAAAGCGUGGGAGCAAACAGG